rnacentral:rRNA from 1 species
CACUCCUACGGGAGGCAGCAGUAGGGAAUCUUCGGCAAUGGGGGCAACCCUGACCGAGCAACGCCGCGUGAGUGAAGAAGGUUUUCGGAUCGUAAAGCUCUGUUGUAAGUCAAGAACGAGUGUGAGAGUGGAAAGUUCACACUGUGACGGUAGCUUACCAGAAAGGGACGGCUAACUACGUGCCAGCAGCCGCGGUAAUACGUAGGUCCCGAGCGUUGUCCGGAUUUAUUGGGCGUAAAGCGAGCGCAGGCGGUUUGAUAAGUCUGAAGUUAAAGGCUGUGGCUCAACCAUAGUUCGCUUUGGAAACUGUCAAACUUGAGUGCAGAAGGGGAGAGUGGAAUUCCAUGUGUAGCGGUGAAAUGCGUAGAUAUAUGGAGGAACACCGGUGGCGAAAGCGGCUCUCUGGUCUGUAACUGACGCUGAGGCUCGAAAGCGUGGGGAGCGAACAGGAUUAGAAACCCCUGUAGUCC